rnacentral:rRNA from 1 species
GAUGAACGCUGGCGGCGUGCUUAACACAUGCAAGUCGAACGGGAUCCAUCAGGCUUUGCUUGGUGGUGAGAGUGGCGAACGGGUGAGUAAUGCGUGACCGACCUGCCCCAUACACCGGAAUAGCUCCUGGAAACGGGUGGUAAUGCCGGAUGCUCCAGUUGAUCGCAUGGUCUUCUGGGAAAGCUUUCGCGGUAUGGGAUGGGGUCGCGUCCUAUCAGCUUGACGGCGGGGUAACGGCCCACCGUGGCUUCGACGGGUAGCCGGCCUGAGAGGGCGACCGGCCACAUUGGGACUGAGAUACGGCCCAGACUCCUACGGGAGGCAGCAGUGGGGAAUAUUGCACAAUGGGCGCAAGCCUGAUGCAGCGACGCCGCGUGAGGGAUGGAGGCCUUCGGGUUGUAAACCUCUUUUAUCGGGGAGCAAGCGUGAGUGAGUUUACCCGUUGAAUAAGCACCG